rnacentral:lncRNA from 1 species
GGUACCUCACACGAAGGCGAGUCCAGAGAUACAAUCGCCAUCAUAUUUUACAUCACAGGCAUUUAUAUUACAAUAGUUUCCAACAGUAGCAUCAGUUCCAAACUGAUAGGAUUUAUUAUAAACCGGUUCAAGGUUUCAAGUUUACGGCAGCGGAACUUAAAACACGAUCACUAUACAUGUCGCCAGUACGGACAUCAUGCUAAGCCCUGGCAUGACAUCACUCGGUAUGAUCAGUGUUGGCUGAGGACGGGUCCCAUUC